rnacentral:misc_RNA from 1 species
AAGUCGUAACAAGGUAUCCGUAGGUGAACCUGCGGAUGGAUCAUUAGCGAAUGGAGGAACAUUCACCUGUUCUCUCACAUCCACACACACACACACCCUUGUGGUCUACAGAGAUAGGAAGGAUAUUGCGAGUGUAUCAUUACGCUCGCAUCAUCCGUCUAUAUAACAAACCGUUUGAUCAUCAUCAUCAUUCUAGUAUUUAAGCAUUGGCAAUCACUAUUGUUGUGAUGAUAACCCAAUACAACUGCUAGCAACGGAUCACUCGGCUCUC